rnacentral:rRNA from 1 species
GGAUGCGAUCAUAUCAACACUAACGCACCGGAUCCCAUCAGAACUCCGAAGUGAAUGGUGCUUGGGCGAGAGUAGUACUAGGAUGGGUGACCCUCUAGGAAUUCCUCGUGUUGCAUCCC